GACGAACGCUGGCGGCGUGCCUAAUACAUGCAAGUAGAACGCUGAAGAGAGGAGCUUGCUCUUCUUGGAUGAGUUGCGAACGGGUGAGUAACGCGUAGGUAACCUGCCUGGUAGCGGGGGAUAACUAUUGGAAACGAUAGCUAAUACCGCAUAAAAUUGUUUAUUGCAUGAUAAUUAAUUGAAAGAUGCAAUUGCUCACUACCAGAUGGACCUGCGUUGUAUUAGCUAGUUGGUGAGGUAAGGCUCACCAAGGCGACGAUACAUAGCCGACCUGAGAGGGUGAUCGGCCACACUGGGACUGAGACACGGCCCAGACUCCUACGGGAGGCAGCAGUAGGGAAUCUUCGGCAAUGGGGGGAACCCUGACCGAGCAACGCCGCGUGAGUGAAGAAGGUUUUCGGAUCGUAAAGCUCUGUUGUAAGAGAAGAACGGGUGUGAGAGUGGAAAGGUCAC
rnacentral:rRNA from 1 species